AGCGAACGCUGGCGGCAGGCUUAACACAUGCAAGUCGAGCGGGCGUAGCAAUACGUCAGCGGCAGACGGGUGAGUAACACGUGGGAACGUACCUUUUGGUUCGGAACAACACAGGGAAACUUGUGCUAAUACCGGAUAAGCCCUUACGGGAAAGAUUUAUCGCCGAAAGAUCGGCCCGCGUCUGAUUAGCUUGUUGGUGAGGUAACGGCUCACCAAGGCGACGAUCAGUAGCUGGUCUGAGAGGAUGAUCAGCCACACUGGGACUGAGACACGGCCCAGACUCCUACGGGAGGCAGCAGUGGGGAAGUUUUGGUACAAUGGGGGCGAACCCUGAUCCAGCCAUGCCGCGUGCGGGAAGAA
rnacentral:rRNA from 1 species